GAAAAUUAACGGAAAAAAAAGAUAGAGAGAAGAGGAAGAAGGAGAGAGAACGCGACUUCCAUCUGAAAACUCCCAAAUCCGUACCUUUCUCCCGACAUCGGUUUUGGGUCUUGCUACGAUUCUUUCAAUUGAAAGGAAUAGCGCGAUUAUACUAUUCGAAGAUCCAGUUAGGGUUUUCUGUGAUCGGGGCAUUUGAUCCUGUUGUUCACUCAUUGCUCUCAGAAUUAUGCGGAUUGUCUGCCAGUAUUUUAUUUGACCCCUUGCAAGUGUGUUGGGGGAUUGCAUCCGUGACAUUGAGAUGUGAAAGAUUUUCUGGUGAGUUGCCAUCUAUAAAUUGGUAAUGUCAUCAUUAAGUUGGACUCUAUUAUUAAAAUUUGGUUCAUCAUUGAUUUGGAUUACGUUGGAUUUUGGGCGGUAACUGGCCGUCAACUGUCUUGAGCCAAAUUUCUUGUUUCAGCAUUAGAUGGUUGUCUUCUCACAUCCGUGACCAAAAGAUGGAUGAGGAGUGGGAAAUUGGAUUGUUAUUCCCCAGUUGGAACAGCAAGAAUCCAACUGAUCGCCUUUUUGUUAUUUCUUGCUUGAGUGCUGCCAUCAUUGGAAUUUUGACCAUAGCCUUUACAGCCUUCCAAUGGCGGAGAAAUAUCAAUUUGAGUUGGAUGAAAGCUAUAGCCAGAUCGAAGAGAAACCCAAAAAAAACUAAUAAAGUUCCUGUAGCCGCGCAUGACUGGAUUUUAGAAUCUGUAUCUCGUGGAAAGAAUUUGAGUUGUUGUGUGUGCUUAAAGUUUGUGUCCCCUUCACAGACACUCGGUCCUAUGGUCGCUUCAGAUAGUUUUAUCCACCGUUGCAACAUCUGUGGUGUGGCAGCUCACUUGAGCUGUUCUUCUAAUGCUCAAAAGGAUUGCAAGUGUGUAUCCAUGAUCGGCUUUGAGAAUGUGAUGCACCAAUGGGCUGUUCGGUGGACUGAGAUUACAGAUCAACCUGAUGAAACCUCUUUCUGCAGUUACUGUGAAGAACCAUGUAGUGGGUCUUUUCUUGGUGGUUCUCCAAUAUGGUGUUGUUUAUGGUGCCAACGUGUAGUGCAUGUUGAUUGCCAUAGUAGUAUGUGUAAUGAAACAGGUGAUGUCUGUGACUUAGGUUCAUUUAGAAGGUUGAUUCUGUCACCACUUUACAUCAAGGAGUCAAAUAGGACGUCCUCCGGUGGAUUUUUGAGCUCCAUCACCCAUGGAGCAAAUGAGAUUGCAUCCACAGUGCGUGCAAGUAUAAGGAGUCAGAGUAAGAAGAAUAAACAUAGUCGUAAACCGUCUAUUCAUGCAAGUAAAAGUGGUAGUAUUCGUGAUAUGUCUACAGAAAGCACAGCUGAUUCUCAUCACACAGUUAAUGGUUAUAAUGGAACAGAAAGAAACAUUAAUGGUAGUCGAACGUCAGAGCUUCAGCAUCAAAAUGGUGAUAUAGAUAAAAAUAUUUCAAAUCCAAGCUUCAAAAAAAGUUCUUCAUUCAAUCAGAAGGAUGAAACUCAUGUAGGAAUGAACCUGAGGUAUGAGGUGAUCGAAUUGCCUCCAGAUUCACGUCCCUUGUUAGUAUUUAUCAACAAGAAAAGUGGAGCUCGCCGUGGAGAUUCUCUAAAACAACGGUUAAACAUGCUUUUGAAUCCUGUCCAGGUUUUUGAGUUGAGUUCCGCCCAAGGCCCUGAAUCUGGUCUUUACUUAUUCAGAAAAGUGCCGCACUUCAAGGUUCUUGUAUGUGGGGGCGAUGGAACUGUUGGUUGGGUCUUAAACUGUAUAGACAAGCAAAAUUUUGUUUCACCUCCCCCAGUUGCUAUUCUUCCUGCUGGAACAGGAAAUGAUCUGGCUAGAGUAUUAAACUGGGGUGGUGGUUUGGGCUCAGUGGAGAGACAGGGUGGUCUUUGUACAGUCUUGCGUCAUGUAGAAAAUGCUGCAGUGACUGUUCUUGACCGUUGGAAGGUGGCAAUAGUGGAUCAACAGGGAAAACAACUCAAAUCUCCACAGUUUAUGAAUAAUUAUCUCGGAAUUGGAUGUGAUGCUAAGGUUGCCCUUGACAUACAUAAUUUACGGGAGGAAAAUCCAGAAAAAUUUUAUAACCAGUUUAUGAAUAAAGUGCUUUAUGCAAGAGAAGGAGCUAAGAGCAUAAUGGAUAGAACAUAUGCAGAUAUUCCAUGGCAGGUUCGGGUGGAAGUGGAUGGUGUUGAGGUAGAGGUUCCUGAGGAUGCAGAAGGUGUGCUGGUUGCGAACAUCGGAAGCUACAUGGGUGGUGUGGAUCUUUGGCAUAAUGAGGACGAGACUUUUGAUAGUUUUGAUUCACAGUCCAUGCAUGAUAAAAUACUCGAGGUUGUCAGCAUAUCUGGAACCUGGCACCUUGGGAAGCUACAGGUGGGGCUUUCUCGAGCUAGAAGACUUGCUCAGGGGCGGUCCAUUAGGAUACAAUUAUGUGCUGCAUUGCCUGUUCAAAUUGACGGAGAACCUUGGUUUCAGGACAUCCCGUGUACACUGGUCAUAUCCCACCAUGGAGAGGCCUUCAUGUUGAAAAGGGCAGUUGAGGAGCCUCUUGGUCACGCAGCUGCAAUUAUCACUGAUGUUCUGGAGAGUGCUGAAUCCAAUAAUGUAAUUAAUGCUUCACAGAAGCGAGUACUCCUCCAAGAAAUAGCAAAGAGGUUAACUUGAAAGUUUCUUUCAGUCAUUCCUGUAAUGAUCAGGAUUUUGAGUGCGAAUCAUUUUCAGCUUUUUAUGCCACCCUUCACAUCUCUCCAUAGAGGUGUUUUGCUAGGAUAUACUAAAGACGUGCUUUUCUUCAAAU